AACGAACGCUGGCGGCAUGCCUAACACAUGCAAGUCGAACGAGACCUUCGGGUCUAGUGGCGCACGGGUGCGUAACGCGUGGGAAUCUGCCCUUGGGUUCGGAAUAACAGCGAGAAAUUGCUGCUAAUACCGGAUGAUGACGUAAGUCCAAAGAUUUAUCGCCCAAGGAUGAGCCCGCGUAGGAUUAGCUAGUUGGUGAGGUAAAGGCUCACCAAGGCGACGAUCCUUAGCUGGUCUGAGAGGAUGAUCAGCCACACUGGGACUGAGACACGGCCCAGACUCCUACGGGAGGCAGCAGUGGGGAAUAUUGGACAAUGGGCGAAAGCCUGAUCCAGCAAUGCCGCGUGAGUGAUGAAGGCCUUAGGGUUGUAAAGCUCUUUUACCCGGGAUGAUAAUGACAGUACCGGGAGAAUAAGCUCCGGCUAACUCCGUGCCAGCAGCCG
rnacentral:rRNA from 1 species